rnacentral:rRNA from 1 species
GACGAACGCUGGCGGCGUGCUUAACACAUGCAAGUCGAACGGUGAAGCGCCUUCCUUUUUGGUGGGUGUGGAUGAGUGGCGAACGGGUGAGUAACACGUGAGUAACCUGCCCCCUUCUUCUGGAUAACCGCAUGAAAGUGUGGCUAAUACGGGAUAUUCUGGGUCUGUCGCAUGAUGGGUCUGGGAAAGAUAUUGUUUCGGUGGGGGAUGGGCUCGCGGCCUAUCAGCUUGUUGGUGGGGUGAUGGCCUACCAAGGCGGUGACGGGUAGCCGGCCUGGGAGGGUGGACGGUCACACUGGGACUGAGACACGGCCCAGACUCCUACGGGAGGCAGCAGUGGGGAAUAUUGCACAAUGGGCGCAAGCCUGAUGCAGCGACGCCGCGGGAGGGAUGGAGGCCUGCGGGUUGUGAACCUCUUUCGCCAGUGAAGCAGGCCUGCCUCGUUUGUGGGUGGGUUGACGGUAGCUGGAGAAGAAGCGCCGGCUAACUACGUG